GUGGGGAAUUUUGGACAAUGGGCGAAAGCCUGAUCCAGCAAUGCCGCGUGCAGGAUGAAGGCCCUCGGGUUGUAAACUGCUUUUGUACGGAACGAAAAGCCUGGGGCUAAUAUCCCCGGGUCAUGACGGUACCGUAAGAAUAAGCACCGGCUAACUACGUGCCAGCAGCCGCGGUAAUACGUAGGGUGCAAGCGUUAAUCGGAAUUACUGGGCGUAAAGCGUGCGCAGGCGGUUUUGUAAGUCAGUGGUGAAAUCCCCGGGCUCAACCUGGGAACUGCCAUUGUGACUGCAAGGCUAGAGUGCGGCAGAGGGGGAUGGAAUUCCGCGUGUAGCAGUGAAAUGCGUAGAUAUGCGGAGGAACACCGAUGGCGAAGGCAAUCCCCUGGGCCUGCACUGACGCUCAUGCACGAAAGCGUGGGGAGCAAACAGGAUUAGAAACCCCAGUAGUCC
rnacentral:rRNA from 1 species